CUACGUGCCAGCAGCCGCGGUAAUACGUAGGUGGCAAGCGUUGUCCGGAAUUAUUGGGCGUAAAGCGCGCGCAGGCGGAUUGGUCAGUCUGUCUUAAAAGUUCGGGGCUUAACCCCGUGAUGGGAUGGAAACUGCCAAUCUAGAGUAUCGGAGAGGAAAGUGGAAUUCCUAGUGUAGCGGUGAAAUGCGUAGAUAUUAGGAAGAACACCAGUGGCGAAGGCGACUUUCUGGACGAAAACUGGCGCUGAGGCGCGAAAGCCAGGGGAGCGAACGGGAUUAGAUACCCCGGUAGUCCUGGCCGUAAACGAUGGGUACUAGGUGUAGGAGGUAUCGACCCCUUCUGUGCCGGAGUUAACGCAAUAAGUACCCCGCCUGGGGAGUACGACCGCAAGGUUGAAACUCAAAGGAAUUGACGGGGGCCCGCACAAGCGGUGGAGUAUGUGGUUUAAUUCGACGCAACGCGAAGAACCUUACCAGGUCUUGACAUUGAUGGACAGAACUAGAGAUAG
rnacentral:rRNA from 1 species